CAGCAGCCGCGGGAAUACGUAGGGUGCGAGCGUUAAUCGGAAUUACUGGGCGUAAAGCGUGCGCAGGCGGUUGUGUAAGACAGGUGUGAAAUCCCCGGGCUUAACCUGGGAACUGCGCUUGUGACUGCACAGCUAGAGUAUGGCAGAGGGGGGCGGAAUUCCACGUGUAGCAGUGAAAUGCGUAGAGAUGUGGAGGAACACCGAUGGCGAAGGCAGCCCCCUGGGCCAAUACUGACGCUCAUGCACGAAAGCGUGGGGAGCAAACAGGAUUAGAUACCCGAGUAGUCCCUGUCUCUUAUAC
rnacentral:rRNA from 1 species